CGGGAAGGGACGAGGGCCUCCUGGGGUCUCAGCGGCGCUGCCUGCUGAUCUGAAGUCUCUGAGCACCUCAAGAAAGGUUCAAUACCGUGUCCCGGGCGCUUGGGCCAGGCCGAGAAGCAGAGUUUUCACGGAAAUCAGCUCAGCAGAGAGCAGGGGGGACACCACUGGAGAGUCCCGGAUGACUCCCGUGAGAUCCUUAGCUUAAUUACACCGGCAAAGACUCUGUUUCCAAACAAGGCCUCAGUCACAGGUUCUGGGGUUUAAGAGACGGUCCUGGGGCGCCUGGGGGGGCUCAGUGGGUUAAGCGUCCAGC